CUUUGUCUCUGUAACUC
rnacentral:piRNA from 1 species